GAGCGGGGAGUGACAGGACAAGGGGAAUAGAUUCCAGGAGAGAACAGGUUCAGAGUAGCUAUAGAGGAGGAAGUUCUCUGCUGUGAGGGUGGUGAGGCACAGGCUGCCCAGAGAAGUUGUGGAUCUGCGUCCCUGGAAGUGUUUAAGGCCAGGCUGGAUGGGGCUCUGACCAGCCUAGUCUAGUGGAAGGUGUCUCUGCUCAUGGCAGGGGGGUUGAAACGAGAUGAUCUGUAAUGUCCUUUCCAAGCCAUGCCAUUCCGUGACUCUGCGAUGAAUUCUGUGUGGGGUGAGCUGUGUCGGGGGCAGGGUGAGCACAGGGCACGGUUGCUCAUGCAGUGUGUACCUGGCCUUCGGCGUCUGCCAGGGGCAGGCACAGACGUUUCUCCCAAGUGAUGACUUGGAUCAGUGUUCCACACUGGGUUAUUUUUAUCCAAGGUCUGUUACUUAAUCUUGUUUCCAUGAUUGCCCACAUGCUUUUAUUUGCACGUUACGGAGAGAGUAGGAGCAUGUGGUGUGAAGGAUGACAAGUAGAAAUAGAAACUAAAGCUACAGCUUUAGAGGUAGUGAAUGAAGCUAGUUGGUAUCUCUCUUGGCAAAUAAAAAGAAAUGGAAGAGAACUAAAGAUUUUUGCUGAUGAAGUGUGAAGAUUGCAUUAGUCUGUUAUUUAAACUGCACAUUUUAUCAUUUUAGUCAUCCUUUGACCCACCAAAAUGGACUUUUACACUGAGAACAGUUCCAUAUAAACAGGACAAGUAUAAACCAGUGCUGGAAAAACAUUCUUUAUUCACGGUGAACAAACUGACCAAAGAACCGUGUGAGCUGCCUUAUGUGGAAGAAAAUUAAUGAAGCGUUUUUGGGGUGAUGACUGCACAUUUU